UACAAAGUUAGUAAAGACUUUCAAAAAUUUUUAUGAGAACCGUCAAUCGCUGUCUUAAAGGCUGCAAAAUAACCAUGUUUCUUUGCAAACAAGUGUGUAUAGGCACCUCAUCCAGUACCAACUCUCUAAAAGGGCCGUUUGAACAUGGGUAAACUCUGUUACUAUUGUCCUGAAAUUAUGAACUGGAAGGAACCAAUAUGCUGCGUUCUUGUUCCAAGGUACGCUGCAUCAGCUCGUUAAGCUACAAAUCACAUUUACUCCACAACAGCUACACUCUACAAAACACAUCUAUUCAGGUAUUCAUUGGACAGCUACUGUUGACAGCAGAUGCUAACACAGCAACAUCGUGAAUCAAUACUAAAAAAUGCCCCAAGUUAGCAGCUAGUUACUCUUAAUCUCAGGAUUGGUUUGCCAUGCUGAAAAAACUCAUGAAAAUUUUAUACUUCCAUACAUUGGUGUUACGAAAUCAUCUCAACAGAUUAUGAGAUCACUGGUAAAAUAUCACUUUGCUGAUUUAAAAGGAUUGUCUCCUGAGCAAUUGUAUCGUAUUACUCUCAUGCCUUGUUAUGACAAAAAGCUAGAAGCUUCAAGACAGGAUUUUUAUAAUAGUUUGAAGGAAACCAGAGAUGUAGACUGCGUUAUAACUGCAGCUUGGUUGAUCAAAGUAAAAAAAUAUUUAUUGAGAAAUAAAAAAUUAAUUUAUAAUGAUUUAUUGUAGUUGAA